rnacentral:rRNA from 1 species
AUUGAACGCUGGCGGCAUGCCUUACACAUGCAAGUCGAACGGUAACGGGCCUUCGGGUGCCGACGAGUGGCGAACGGGCGAGUAAUACAUCGGAACGUGCCCGAUCGUGGGGGAUAACGAGGCGAAAGCUUUGCUAAUACCGCAUACGAUCUACGGAUGAAAGCAGGGGACCGCAAGGCCUUGCGCGGACGGAGCGGCCGAUGGCAGAUUAGGUAGUUGGUGGGAUAAAAGCUUACCAAGCCGACGAUCUGUAGCUGGUCUGAGAGGAUGAUCAGCCACACUGGGACUGAGACACGGCCCAGACUCCUACGGGAGGCAGCAGUGGGGAAUUUUGGACAAUGGGCGCAAGCCUGAUCCAGCCAUGCCGCGUGCAGGAUGAAGGCCUUCGGGCUGUAAACUGCUUUUGUACGGAACGAAAAGCCUUCUUUUAAUACAGGAGGGUCAUGACGGUACCGUAAGAAUAAGCACCGGCUAACUACGUG